UUUACGGAGAGUUUGAUCCUGGCUCAGGACGAACGCUGGCGGCGUGCUUAACACAUGCAAGUCGAACGAUGAACUCCAGCUUGCUGGGGGGAUUAGUGGCGAACGGGUGAGUAACACGUGAGUAACCUGCCCUUGACUCUGGGAUAAGCGCUGGAAACGGCGUCUAAUACCGGAUACGAGCUUCAGCCGCAUGGCUAGGAGUUGGAAAGAAUUU
rnacentral:rRNA from 1 species